GACGAACGCUGGCGGCGUGCUUAACACAUGCAAGUCGAACGCUGAAGCUCAGCUUUUGUUGGGUGGAUGAGUGGCGAACGGGUGAGUAACACGUGAGUAACCUGCCUCCUUCUUUGGGAUAACGCCCGGAAACGGGUGCUAAUACUGGAUAUUCACUGGUCUUCGCAUGGGGGUUGGUGGAAAGGGUUUUUCUGGUGGGGGAUGGGCUCGCGGCCUAUCAGCUUGUUGGUGGGGUGAUGGCCUACCAAGGCUUUGACGGGUAGCCGGCCUGAGAGGGUGACCGGUCACAUUGGGACUGAGAUACGGCCCAGACUCCUACGGGAGGCAGCAGUGGGGAAUAUUGCACAAUGGGGGCAAGCCCGAUGCAGCGACGCCGCGUGAGGGAUGGAGGCCUUCGGGUUGUGAACCUCUUUCGCUCAUGGUCAAGCCGCAACAAUGGUUGUGGUGAGGGUAGUGGGUAAAGAAGCGCCGGCUAACUACGUG
rnacentral:rRNA from 1 species